rnacentral:rRNA from 1 species
AUUGAACGCUGGCGGCAUGCCUUACACAUGCAAGUCGAACGGCAGCACGGGAGCAAUCCUGGUGGCGAGUGGCGAACGGGUGAGUAAAGUAUCGGAACGUGCCCAGUCGUGGGGGAUAACGUAGCGAAAGUUACGCUAAUACCGCAUACGAUCUAUGGAUGAAAGCGGGGGAUCGCAAGACCUCGCGCGAUUGGAGCGGCCGAUAACAGAUUAGGUAGUUGGUGGGGUACAGGCCCACCAAGCCGACGAUCUGUAGCUGGUCUGAGAGGAAGACCAGCCACACUGGGACUGAGACACGGCCCAGACUCCUACGGGAGGCAGCAGUGGGGAAUUUUGGACAAUGGGCGAAAGCCUGAUCCAGCCAUGCCGCGUGCAGGAUGAAGGCCUUCGGGUUGUAAACUGCUUUUGUACGGAACGAAAAGGACUGCCCUAAUACGGUGGUCCCAUGACGGUACCGUAAGAAUAAGCACCGGCUAACUACGUGCCAGCCGCCGCGGUAA